CAGAGAUGGUUCUGGGAGUGCAGAGCUGCCCCUGGUGCUUGCACUGCACUCAGCUGAGCCACUCCACCCCGAGCACACAGCAGAGCCCUCCAUGGCAUCUUCUGCUUUUCCCUGGGGAAGAGACAACCUGGAGAUGCUUCAUGAGCUAGAAAUAUUCCUCCAGAUAUCACAGAAAAGCAGCACCACCCUGGGCUGCAGCUCCUGAACUGCAACUCCUUCAUGGAAAACAUCUUCACCUUCACCCCUACAAGGGCCUGCUGACCUCCCACCAACACUGGGGCAGCCUGGUGGCCCUGCAGGACAAGGACUGGUCGAGAGGACUUUCCCUGGUGGCCCCCAGACAAUGGCGAGCUGUUCCUGGAGUGCCCCAUACAUUCCAGGAUGCAUUGGCCUCACAAGUUAAAUAUUUAGUCUUUCCUGAAUCCAAAUA